GUGGCCUAGUGGCUAGAGUGUCCGCCUCGGAUGCGGUAGGUCAUGGGUUCGAACCCCGGCGAGUCA